ACGGUGGUUCUAGGUUCAACAACAACAGCUUGUGCUUCCAAAGAUAUCACCGAUUCCGUUUGAAAGAACAAAAGUUCUCUUAACCCAAGAUGGUGUAUAAGAACAACAAUAACUAACAACAAUAGCUAACAGCAAUUUUAAGAGUGAAAGUGGGAUCGGAUUACCUACGGCGAGGAUAAUUUCGCCGGUUUAAUUGCUGAGGUACAACAAUGGUUAAAUGAAAUAUUGAGAGUGAAGGAAGAGAGACUUACCUGCGGCGAGGAUGUUGAAGAGUCAUCUAUGGAGGCUCGAAGAUGGGAGCCAUCGUUGAA